UUUUCAAGGAGCUUCAACUCUUAUGGCAUCUUUUUCUAGCUGGAAUGGAAAUAUCAUUUUCUCCUGACUGAAAUCUCGAAAGAAAAGCUAGGAUUUUGUUCCUCAAUAUGUCCAAUAUGUCCAACUUAGCCUCCGCAUAGAGGGAGGAAGCUUCCCCCUUUCAAAUCAAACUCGGAGAAAUCAAGGUUUCCUAUUGCUUCAUUUGAAUUGGGUCGUCAAGUAUCAAAUAAGUUAUUGUUCCUUGGAAAUUAAGCCACAGCCUUAUUAAAGGAAGCAGAAUUCAUAAGACAUAUCCACUCAAGGCUGGCUUUUGGGAGUCGAUUAAAUCUGGGGAGAAGGAUCGGAGGGUGAUGAGCUAAGAAGGAAUUCUGAUGUCAUCGAGAUCCUAAAGAAGACAAGUUUCCAUGGCUCUAGCGCGUUGAAAAACCCAGAAACAACCCUGGAGCAUGAAUGAAGCUCUCAAAACCACUUUGGAAGGCUCCCUCCUAAUACCAGAGACGAACGAUGCAAGGACAAGGUUGCACCUAUGUAAUGGAUUGUGCCCUCCAGCUGUUUGCGUCCUGUGCUGCCGUGUGGGUUUGUAGCAGCUUCGUAAGAACAAUAUAAUUUUCUCAGAAAGAGAGAGUGAGAGAGCGAUUCUGCGUUUAGGUCAAUGGAGAUCAGUCAGAGAGACAGUGUACAGCUUAUCAUGUCCAAGGGGAGCAGAUCUUUUCCAUUUUAAGAGAAACUGGAGGAUCGGACCCGGGAUACAAUUCCGAUGAUUCAGUUAAGGACCCAAGUUACAGCACCCUUGAAGAAAUCCAUGCCCAGUUCUCAAAGCUCUCUAUCAAUACUACAUCCAAGGCCCGGAGUUGGAAAUUCCGUGGGUAUAGAUAUUGUGAAAGUUUUUGAUCUUGAAGAAGACCUUGAUGGGGAGUAGAUGAUUGCGCCUGAGCUUAAUCAGAAUGAUGCUGAAAGCUAUGAACAUGUCCAGAAGAUAAUUCAAGACAAACAGAUUGAGAAAUUGAAAGUGGAGCGAUGUAAGCUCUACUUGAGGAAGAAUGGGUUGAGACUGACUGAAGUUAGGGAGGAAGUUUGUUAUCAGAGCUUUUGUUGGCUGUUGGCAUUAACAGAACCAAGCCAAAUCCUAAAGGUGAAAGACCCACAAGCAUUGAUAUAGAGAGCAGCAGAGAAAUAUAUGAGGUAAAGACACAAAUGCAACUGCUAAAAGUUCCUCACAAGAUGGCGAGAGAGAGAGGGACUGAUUACUCUUCAAAUGAGAAUGUGCCAACAUUGAUACAGUUAUUGGCAUUGAGAAAAAAACCUAAAAACCAAGUCAAGCCAUAUGAUCUAGAUAAUGAAACUACUGCAGAGCAGAUAAAAAUCCAGAUAUAGCGGUACUUGAAGAUGGGAUUCAGGAAGAGUGUCAGAACCAGGACAUCUGUUAUGGAAAUGAUAGAUCACUUUUUAUUGCAUGCAAUUAUUUGGCUAUUUCACAUUUCUUCUAUACACUUGAUUUGAAUAGCUUGGAUUCACUUUCAGCUUUAAUAUACUGCAUGUGUUUUUGAACCUCUCUAUGUUCGAUCUCUUUGGACUAGAAAAAGAUGGUUAAAACAAUGCCUAUUUUAGGUUUUUACGUUUGCAGCAUGUUUUGGAGACUUCAAAUCAUUGUUAGAUUAAUGCUCAAGUUUUUUUUUUGGA